CAUUUCUAUUACUUGAAGUAAUUUUAGUUGGCAAACAAUUGGCGCUUUCACUGUUGUGCUUGAAAGGUGCCGGUUCUUCAACCAGAGACUCUCCGUUUUACAGCACCAGACACAGGACAAAAAAAAAUCCUAAAGUGAAGCAUUUUAGCAAGCUAAAGUAAAUUGCCAAACUUAAAGAAAACUUUCAGGCGCUGAAUUCCAUCCUACUUAUAUUUUUAACGUGUAAAAUACAGGGAAAGUCGAGAUUAUGCGUCCGAUUAAUGUUAAUAAAAUAAUAAUUAUUAAUUAAGAAUAAAAUAAACACCGAUUACGCUAUGGGUGGGAUGGGAUUGAGGCAAUUUACAAUAAAAAGAAAUCAUUCUUUCCCUACAAUUCUUUUUCCCUCGGGAUUCAAAUUCGCUGUUACAUGUUUCCCCACUAAAUGUUAGGGAGGAACUGUCAUUCUGUUUAACAGGACAUUCGAGUUGAAUCUGUGCAAAUUCAUUUGAUAUAGCGCCGGAGUUAUUAAAGGCUUGAAAUGUUAAUGGAAGUGAAGCAAAGAAAAUGGUCAUUGUCACUUAAAGAGUAAAAACAGAGCUGCAAAUCGAAGCGGCAAGGGGGUCACGGAUUUAUACCCUGAAUCAAAAAAAGGACAAACUGGUACAACGUGUCAUUUUUUCCCCUACAAAUACCCCGUGGAAAGCGGUUCCAUUGCUCCGUCUUUCUGAGAACCGUGGAUUGUCGUGAACAUUUUUACCCUGCAGUAAUAUUAUCUGUACUCCGGGAAUAAGAUGCUAAAAAUUGUUAAAAUAUUAAUGUUUCCAUUACCCACAAAAACAAAAAAAAAGCAUUUUACUCUAUGCAGGGGGAUUCGACAAAAUCUAUUAACUACACACCAGUUAUUUUCUAUUAUUUCAGUAUCCCACUCAAAAGACACCGACUUUGCAAAGCUACCCGAUAUUUGACUCUGGUGCCAAACACCAGAUUAGUUAUCAAAAGGAGCACCAGUACUUCCGUAAUAAUUCCAGGUAAUAAUAACACAUGUAUAAUAGUCAAGGAAAACAGAAACAAAUAUAAUUUUCAAUCUUCAUUGCAAACUACACUGCAAACGGACUGACUGUUGGGACUCGGUCCAAUUAUUUUUGAAACUAUACAUCUAACUAAAAGCAAAUGACUUGGUUCAAUGAAAAAGGCGGGGUGGGGGAGAAGUCUAUUUGAGGUGGAAUUAUGCCAUGUCCUUUGCAUGGGAAGAGGUUAGGGAGAGUUGGAGGUUUUGGGGAGUAAUGCUUGGAUAACCCUGGUCUUCACUCUUUCAUUAACCUAUUUCACAGGAAGCCCCCUCGAAUCAUUUGCACUUCAAAGAAGCACGCCGCCUCGUCCAACGGAAAUUAAAGAAAAAUAAACUUUUGGGAAGGGGGAGGGGAGGGUGUUUUUUAGGAAAAAUAGAGAUCCAGGAUGGAUCCUCUGAACCAACCCCAGCACCGCCAAGAUCCAUUCGCAAUUCAUUUUAUACACUAUCCGCGCGAGGCAAAUCCCUCGAUUAUCUGCUUUACUCAUACUCCCCUUGUCCGGUCACUGUUUAGCUCUAUAAUCGUGUUACGUGUAAAUAUAUUGGUCCGAUUUGACGCCUCUCGGUGUUUACACACAGGAUUACCCGCGGCUGUAUCAUUGCCUUUGAUCUGGAUUUACGGAUCUUUUCAGUCACAGAGCAAGUGCCAAUCGUUUAAAAGUUAAAUGCAGAAUUUGACAUAAAACUGGGAGAAUUAAAUAGAAAGUUAAUGUAUAAUUUGAUUACAGUAUGCGCAUGUGUCUGCUAUACGAAACAAUACUUUUAACUUAACACUAUUACAAGCAAAGGAAAUAUUUCAGUCGAAAAUGGCAUUUUUAAACAACUUUUGAUGACAAGUUUAUGAUUAGCCACGAUUUCCCACUUUCUGCUCCGAGUCUUUGGUGUGUUUAAUCCGCGCAGAAGGCUAUGACUUGGAAGUCAUAUGUUCAAACUGGUCAUUGUUUACGCACAAUAGUGUGUAAUUUAGAGUGAGCUCCUCUGUGUGCGUCCGUGUGUGUCUGCGUGGGUGCAAGGGAGAGACAAUAACUGUGCAAAUCUUAUGCUAUCGGUAGACAGGUGAUAUUUCACCUGGCAGAAGAGUAACGAGGAAAAGUGAUAUUAAAUAAUAAUUGUUCAGACAUUUGUACGCAUUUACACACUUAGAAAGAUUGUGACGUUGUGGAGAAAAUCAGCUCCCUGUAGCUGAGAGCGGAGAGCGAGUUCAGGGCGUCUGGAGCCUGAGGUCGGACGGGAAUCAGCGCAGGCCUUGUUAACACACCGUUCCAACUCAACCAUGUCCCUCUGCGGUCAGACUGUGAUUCAACGGUUUCGUAGGGACAGCGGAGACCCAGCACUUGCAGAGGUGGACGAGCCAGCGGCUGGAGAGGGGCUGAGGUGCCGUCUCCAUGACACUGUAAACGAUUCCCAAACAACUGCGAACUUUGAAGCUCAACUUUGUCAGAGUGUUGUGUUCCUCGAGUUUCUAGUUCAUUAACUCGCACUUGCAUUGCAUCAGGCUAACUUAGUUCUGCACGGCUUCACCUGGGCCCUUACAAGAGAGCAUUGCAGAGACGCGAGUUCCUAGACUGGGUCACCCGCUGACAGUGGUCAGCACGGACAUAUCUGGAGUCAGGCGUCAAUCAACAGUAACAGGCGAAAUGUGCGGUAUAAAGUUGCGCACAGUGUGCGGGUUUAGACCGGCUCCACUCCCUAUCGCAUGACUCGCUCCGUGUCAAUUUCCCCCCUCUGUUUUCCCUCUUCCUUUCACUGCAGGUCUCUCCGCAGUAAAGCAUGCCAAUUUAGUAAAGAGCUACUGAUUUAAGUUUACUGACACGGGGAGAGAAUCCAAUCUUGUUGCGGCACCUCCGUUCUCCUGUGAGUGCUUUCCAGUCAUACGGGUGGUUAGCUGAGAUUUGUAAGCUUACACCUCGGGAUAGUUUUAAGGAAAGGGAUAAAAACAAAAAAAUAUAUAAUUCCACAAUACUGCCGCAAUUUAACUACUCAUCUACUGGGUGUUUAUUAGAAACAUUCACGUCCCAAGAACUGGAGAUUUCGUUCUUCUUUCAAUAUUAUCUUGAAUCGAACUAAUGAUGAUAACCACAAAGGGAAUGUUUUGAGAAAAAUAUACCAGAAAGAAAUGAAUUGGGCGCACAAUGCAUUCUAUUCGUUUAUAUAAUUAUAUAAAAAGGAUUAAUAAUCAAUAUCGAAGAGAUAGGAGUUUCCAAAGACUGCGACAAUUAGUUAAACAACACACGUAUACUCCUGUUCAUUUAAUAUGUAAAUAUAUGAUGAAAACAGCCGUGCCCUGUAGUAAUUAAUGGCGGGGGCCUUUCUAAUUUUGAUUUUGUAAGAGUUUUGUUAAUGAGAGAGUGGGCACGUUAAUAAUGUAUUCAUUGUAUAAUGAAAGCCCAGCCGGUCAUUAACAGACUGUAUCAUAUUGCAGAUAUUAUACUCUAAUACAGCUAUA